rnacentral:tRNA from 3 species
CGGUGCGUAACUCAAUUGGCAGAGUGGGUGGCUUUUAACCACAGGGUUGCAGGUUCGAUGCCUGUCGCGCCGACCA